rnacentral:piRNA from 1 species
AAUGGCUGAAUGAAGAACACGGUUG